GAAUCUGCGAAGACUUGUUUCGACAGGUGGGGUUAUGUUACCCAUGGUGAGUACUAUUUUACAUUAUUAUUGGUUAUGUUGCAUUGCAUUCCAGUGGAGGACUUAUUCUAUUUCAAAAGUGGUAUAUUCGUUAUAAUUAUAUCUAAUUCUAUUUGGUUUUCCUGGAAAUCUUUGUGGACAGAUUAAGGAUUAUGGAAUAUGCAAAUCGUAUAGUGUUCUUUGGAGAUGCUGACAAUUUUGGAAGUUGGAUCUGUAUGUUUUGCUAUGUUUAAUUGUUUCUAUGUAUGGUGCUCAGGAGCUUCACAUGGAUGAUUGGACAAUUUUAGAAAAAGGGCAACGAGUAUUUUGGAGUAUUUAAUCCUGUAUUUUUAAAAUGUAAUUUAUCGUCGAGUGAGCUGCACAUAUUUUUAUUCUUUCAAUUGUAGUAUCGUAAAUGCGUUUCUAGUUUAGUUUAGAGUAAGUUUAUAGUAGGUUAGGAUUAGGACAAAUAGCAAUUUGUCCAUAAGUGCUGGAGUAGUUCGUUUAUGAUGGGUCCGAGGACUCAAGCAUAGACGAGCAAUCCAGAUAUAUUGCGGGUCGGAAGACCCAGGUCAGAGACGACCAUGGGGACUUCCCCAUGAACGUCGCACACGAGGUGGUCACGUCGGCCCAUGCCGCUGACGUCAGGGGGAAAAACCUUUCCCGUGCUGACCGUGUUGACCUCGGAGUGGGGGGCGACGUAGGGCACCCUGAUAGACCCUUAUGAGGAGGGAGAAUAUCAGAGUGUGGCGAGAGACCUUGAGGAGAAGGUCAGCGGGUAGAAUCGAGCAAUUCAUAGUUAGAGUUCAGAGUUAGAGUUCAGAGUUAGAGUUUAAAGUCAGAGUCGACUUGAGUAGAGUAGGAGUUGAGUAGAGUUAGAAUCAUAGAAUAUUAGACGCUACUUUUUAAAGAAUUGUAGUAUACUUUUUAAUAAACUGGAGUGUACCGUUUUCUUGUGAAUAAAUGUAUUAGUGUAGAAGUGUCGUGUUUCAACUGAAAAUCCUUUACCGAUCCAUCCCACACAAUUUAUCGUUGUUUUUUUUAUUGAAAUAAAGUUGGUUCAUUCGAUCAUUACUUCUGUUUUGAGUUUCAACAAUUAAUUUCGGUCUUUUAAGAUCAUCAUUCAAUUGAAACGAAUUUAUCAAGCUGAUUAAAACUUU